UACCCAUCAGUCCGCGGCCCCGCCAGUCCCGCCCCCGGCCGUCCCGGCGCAUGAGUGGCUGUGCCCCCGCCGGCGGCGGGCGCUCCGCUCCUCGCACGGGCCGGCCGAGCUGUCCCUCAGCGCGGGGUGUGGAGGGGCGGCGGCGGCGCGGGCCGCGCUUGCCGGGGAGUCCGGAGGCGGUGCUGACGGGACGGCGCGCGGAGGCGCUGCGGGCCGCUCCCGACCUGCGCCAGCCCGGCUGGGCUCGGCUCGGCUCAGCCUAGCUCGGCUCAGCUCAGCCUAGCUCAGCUCGGCUCAGCUCGGCUCAGCCCGGCCCGGCCCGAGGUGAGGCAGCGGGGCCGCGGGUCUGACCGCGGGGCGCGGCGACGGCGCUGCCCUGCGCACUGGGGCGCCCCCUGACGGGCGGGGCCGGGUCCCCGAGACAGCGGGACAGGGGGACAGCGGGACACGGGACAGCGGGACACGGGACAGCGGGACACGGGACACCGGGACACCGACCCCGCUCCAGUCGCGGGAGACGCGUUCGGAAGAAGAGGGAGAAGCAGAAGUUUUAACCAUCUUCCCAUGGCAUCUGACUUUUUUGAGGAAGGAGGUGCUGCAGCAUGGUGGGAGCUCCUGUAGCUGGAAUCUGGCCUCCCGUGUGGGUGUUAGAGAAUGCACCCAAGAGCAGAAGCAGUGAGGUUCACAGUGGGGAAAAUGAACCCAGCAGUCCAUCCUAUCCCAUACCUGCCUGAGUAUGGGAAGAGACCUCAUACAAGCCAGAAUGCAUCUGGGCUUGCAGCUCUUUUUAAUCAUAUUAAGUCCUGUUCAGAGUUAAUGGUGAGCUCAGUGAGAUGAGAUGGUCUCAGCAAUGCUGAAGAAGAGAUGAAGAGAAUUGGAAGGCAGAGCUAUUUCAAAACAGGAUUCUUCUUCUUUCCAUAAUGCCCAAACAUGAAGACUUUUAAACUUCUUUAGGUAUGGCAUCAUUUGAAUUCAUUCGGUAUGAUGAUUGCAGUGACCUGUCAUAUUUAUUUUGAUGUCCCUUCGAAGGACCAUAUGCUCUGUCCUCAGCAUGAAAAAUGAUGCAAGUUGCUCAGUGAAAGGCAGCGCUGCUCCUGUAGGGAUGAAGACCCUCACUUCCCGUUCUCACAUCAGUGGAUGUACAGCUACACUACAGUAGAGAAGAUCCUGCCAUCAAUGACUGAGCCUCCCUGAAAUCUUCUUAUCAGUUACUGCCAAGAUGAGAAGGAUAACAGGAAGGAGGAGUGCUUAAGUGGCUUUAAUGACAGUUAAUUUCAUCUAUUUAUCAAAUGACAGGUUGUUUUUUCCUCAAAACUCGAUUGUCAUGACAAGAUGCUUUUGCAAGUCAUCUUUGUAAAAUAAAACUGACAAUUUUUAGGCUACAAAGAGCUAUUGUAUCUUUCUAUACAAUGUUGUCAUUAUGGUAAACCUCUGGAAAGUCUUUAUUUUUGAAGUAAUUUAACUUGCAUACUUCAUUCAUUUAUUUGAAUGUCUGUUGAAUGCUAUGUGAAAAGUUUCUUGCCAGAGUUCUUUUAUUCAAUGGAAUAGUUAUUCUUACAAUGCUCAAUUUAUUAUUGUCUAAAUUACUGUUGCCUUAGCCUCCUGCAAAAAUGUUUCUUUUUGGUAAUUCUUAAACAAAUAAGGAAUGAAUGAGGUUUUGUCCCCCUCGUGUUUUGAUCAGCGUAUUUUGCCUUUCAGUAAAAGUGUCUUCAGUUUUCAAAAUGACACAAAGAAAGGUGCUUUCCUAUUUCCCCCCAACAGAACAUCUUUUGUGCAAUAAUUUUUUUAAUAUGUACACUGCCAAGAUGCAAUUACUGGAAGGAGAGAGAGAAGCUGUUGGGAUUGUCAUGUUAUGCCAAAUUAAGAAUUAUUAGCUCUUACUUUCUCUGCAAUCUCUUCGACUAGAACCUGACCUAUUGCGUCUGGCAUAUACUUUGGCUCAAGUGGAACUAAUGUGUCCUUGGAGUAGCAUUUUAGAGUUACUUCAGAUUCAUGUUUUUUUCACAAGUCUGCUUUAAACUGGUGGGAUUAACUUCAGAGAAGGCAAGAGAUACAGCCUCCUUUGUCAGCAGCUGUGCUGGUUAAAGAAGGAGGCUUCUUGCACGCUUGCUUGCUCGCUCUCUCCAGGAGGUUAUUGCCCCUGCUAGGGAAGCAAACUGAACUGCUUCCCUGAGCACACUCAGACUCAUUUCAGCCAAAGUUAAUCGUGUCAUCAAAUAUUAGUUAUCUAUCACCCUGGGUCACUUUGAUGAAAGGGCAGGGAAUACACAGACCAGCUGUGAGGACGGUGUGUCUGGGAAGGGUGGUGUGUUGACAAGAGGGUUGUUGAGGACUGGUCCUGGUGUAGCCUUUUCAGCAGGUGCAGUUUGCAUCUCUCGGCUGUUGUAAAAAUUGGACGUGUUAGAAAGCUGUGCAGUUAUGUCAUGUAUAAUAUUCACAUUUCAUGGAUAUCUUGGAUAAUACAAAAUAAACCUGUGCUUUUUGACUUAC